rnacentral:lncRNA from 1 species
GUUUGUUUUGGCUCACAGUUCAAAGACACAGUCCAUUCUGGUGGCAGAAGAUUAAGGCCGCUGGUUAUGUCUUGUCCACAGUCAACACAGAGAGAGAAAUGCAAGUCUCAGAUCACUUCUUGUUUGCUUGCUUUUUCAAGGCAAGGUUUCUCUGUGUAACAACUCUAGCUGUCCUGGAACUUGCUUUGUAGCCCAGGCUGGCCUUGAAUUCAGAGUUCCACCUGCCUCUGCUUCCUGAGUGCUGGGGUUAAAGGUGUGAGCCAUACACCUGGCCCUCACUUCUUUUUAUUUGCUUUUUUUGUUUUGUUUUGUUUUCUAUUCAGUCUGAGAGCACCCAAACAUGAAAUAAAUGGUGGUCACUUUUAGAAUGGGUGUUCCAACAUCAGUUAACCCAAUCUAGAAACUCUCUCACAGACACUCCCAGAAAUGUGCCAUCCAGGUGAUUUCAGAACAGUGGUUCUCAACCUUCCCAACACUGGACUCUUUAACACAUUUCUGCAUGUUGUGGUGGCCCCCAACCAUAAAAUUAUUUUCAUUCUUAUUUCACAACUGUAAUUUUGCUACUGUUACUAGCUGUAAUGUGUUUUCCAACGAUCUUAGGUAAUCCCUUGAAAAGGGGGCAUGACCCACAGGUUGAGAACCCCUGGAGCUUGUGCCAUUGGCAGUUACUAGUAAUCAUUACAGUUAUUGUGAAUGGUGGUGCUAGGAAGAGUGUAUUGGGUGUACUUGUUUGAGUUCCUUUUCUUCUUCUUCUUCUUCUUUUUUUUUUUUUUUCUUGGUUUGGUUUGGUUUUGAUUUGAUUUUUGAGGCAAGCUCUCACUGUGUAGCCCUGGCCAGCCUGGAACUCACUAUGUAAACCUAGCCAGCCUGGAACACUGAGAGAGAUUUGUCAGCCUCUGCCUCUGGAGUGCUGGAAUUAAAGCCUCCCAAGUGCUGAAGUUAUCAGCACGCACAGCACAGCCGGCUUCGUACUAGUCCUCCAGUUCAUUCUCCACUAUCUCCAACGGGCAUUGACUGAGCAAGAACUGCAUGCUGGACACCAAACAUGGAACUAGCCACUGAAGAUGCUGAGACAUAGAGCCCUAGGAGGACUCACUGUGUCCUGUGGAGAAAGAAAGAAAAAAAACAAAUAACAACAAAACAGAAAACAAAAGAAUCACAGGCCUGUACAAAGAGCCCAACCAUGAAAGUUUUGGCUCCAUGUUGUGUUGUGUCACAUUAUCAUAUGCUUAAAAUCCCAGCACUAGUAAGGCAGAGGUGGGAGGAUGAAGAGUUCAAGGCUACCCUGAGCAACAUAGUGAGAUAUUGGCUAAUAAGGAGGGGGAGAAGAAUGAAAAAAUUUAAAAUUAAGAAAGGAAGAGAGCAGGAGUGAGGUACUGGGUAGGGAUGUAGCUCAGCUGGACUGCUUGUCAAAUGUACACAAAGCCCUGGGUUUGAUUCCCACAACUUCAUAAAGUUGGCAUGACUAAAAAUAAAU